GACGAACGCUGGCGGCGUGCCUAAUACAUGCAAGUCGAACGCAGUGGGGACGGGUGAGUAACACGUGGGUCACCUCACAUCCGCGGGGAGAACACUUGGAAACAGGUGCUAAACCGAUAUUGAUGGUUGGACCCGCGGUGCAUUAGCUAGUUGGUGAGGUAACGGCUCACCAAGGCCACGAUGCAUAGCGGACCUGAGAGGGGAAUCGGCCACACGGGAACUGAGACACGGCCCAGACUCCUACGGGAGGCAGCAGUGGGGAAUGUUCGGCAAUGGACGAAAGUCUGACCGAGCAACGCCGCGUGGGUGAAGAGGGUUUUCGGAUCGUAAAACUCUGUUGUUAGAGAGGCGGUAUCUAACCAGAAAGCCACGGCUAACUACGUGCCAGCAGCCGCGGUAAUAC
rnacentral:rRNA from 1 species